rnacentral:rRNA from 1 species
CUGGCGGCAUGCUUAACACAUGCAAGUCGAACGAGAAAGCUUCUUCGGAAGUGAUUAAAGUGGCGCACGGGUGAGUAACGCGUAGACAAUCUGCCCUUCAGUCCGGGACAACUUUUCGAAAGGGGAGCUAAUACCGGAUAACAAUGUUUAACAUAAGUUGAAUAUUUGAAAGCUCCGGCGCUGAUGGAUGAGUCUGCGUCCCAUUAGCUUGUUGGUGCGGUAGCGGCGCACCAAGGCCGCGAUGGGUAGCGGGUUUGAGAGGACGAUCCGCCACACUGGAACUGAGACACGGUCCAGACUCCUACGGGAGGCAGCAGUGGGGAAUAUUGCACAAUGGAGGAAACUCUGAUGCAGCAAUGCCGCGUGAGUGAAGAAGGCCCUUGGGUCGUAAAGCUCUUUUAUGGGGGAAGAUGAUGACGGUACCCCAGGAAUAAGCACCGGCUAACUACGUGCCAGCAGCCGCGGUAAUACGUAGGGUGCGAGCGUUGUUCGGAAUUACUGGGCGUAAAGGGCGCGCAGGCGGAGGUGCAAGUCGGAGGUGAAAGCCCGGGGCUCAACCCCGGAGGGUCUUUCGAAACUACAUCUCUAGAGAGGGUCAGGGGCCGGCAGAAUUCCUGGUGUAGAGGUGAAAUUCGUAGAUAUCAGGAGGAAUACCGGUGGCGAAAGCGGCCGGCUGGGGCCACUCUGACGCUGAGGCGCGAAAGCGUGGGGAGCAAACAGGAUUAGAUACCCUGGUAGUCCACGCCGUAAACGAUGAGCACUGGACGUUCGGAGGGUUCGACCCUUCUGGGUGUUUCAGCUAACGCAUUAAGUGCUCCGCCU